UGCUAUAUGAGUAAUUAUAUAUAGUAAUCUCCUGCCCAGUGAUUUUUUAAACGGCCGCGGUAUCCUAACCGUGCAAAGGUAGCAUAAUAAUUUGUCCAUUAAUUGUGGACUAGCAUGAAAGGGGCAACGAAAUAAGAUCUAUCUCAAUAAAAUAACUUAAAACUAUUAUAAAAGUGAAGAAACUUUUAUAAUAUUAAAGGACAAGAAGACCCUAUAGAGCUUAAUUAAUAUAAUAUAAAUUAUAUUAAUUAAAUUCGGUUGGGGCGACCCAGGAAAAUUCAUCCUUAUUAUAUUAGAUAAAUAUAUCAAUUUAUUGAUCCAUAUUAUGAUCACAAAACCAAGCUACCUUAGGGAUAACAGGCUAAUCCCUCUUCAGAGUUCAUAUCAACAGAGGGGAUUGGCACCUCGAUGUUGGCUUAGAUCACCUCUUUGGCGCAGUUGUUUUAAAAGGGGGUUUGUUCAACCCAUCAUUAUCU
rnacentral:rRNA from 1 species